rnacentral:misc_RNA from 1 species
GGAAGCUUUGGGGUGCAUUUGUUUGCCAGAAUCUACCAAGAAAGCAACUAGGAAUGUUAAAUUCAAGUGAUUGGUUUGUACUGGAAAGUUCAAUUCCUAAACUUAUAGGUCCCACUUUACUUUCCUAUAUGCAUGGGAAAGUAAUUUCCUAUCUCAAAUGGUAGGAAAAUUACUUUCCCAUUGGUGUAGGAAAUUAAGAAAAU